GCGCAGCAGUCGCGAAUCUUCCGCAAUGGGCGAAAGCCUGACGGAGCGACGCCGCGUGCUUGAAGAAGCCCUUCGGGGUGUAAAAAGCUUUUCUACCUGUGAAACCUUCGGGUGAUGUUAGGGUAGGAAUAAGGGGAGGCUAAUCACGUGCCAGAAGCCUCGGUAAUACGUGAUCCCCAAGCGUUAUCCGGAUUUAUUGGGCGUAAAGGGUUCGUAGGCGGUUUGUAAAGUUUUUUGUUAAAGGUUGGGGCUCAACUCCAAAAAUGCAAAAAAACUAACAAACUAGAGGGCGUUAGAGGCUGAUGGAACGGUCGGUGUAGGGGUGAAAUCCGUUGAUAUCGACCGGAACACCAAAAGCGAAGGCAUUCAGCUGGGACGACCCUGACGCUGAGGAACGAAAGCGUGGGUAGCGAACGAGAUUAGAUACCCCCCGUAGUCCCUGAA
rnacentral:rRNA from 1 species